GACGAACGCUGGCGGCGUGCUUAACACAUGCAAGUCGAACGCGCCUGUCCUCUGGGUUUCUGGGGGGUGGGUGAGUGGCGAACGGGUGAGUAACACGUGAGUAACCUGCCCCCUUCUUCGGGAUAACGGUCCGAAAGGGCUGCUAAUACCGGGUAUUCACUGGUCUCCGCAUGGGGUCUGGUGGAAAGGUUUUUUUCUGGUGGGGGAUGGGCUCGCGGCCUAUCAGCUUGUUGGUGGGGUGAUGGCCCACCAAGGCUUUGACGGGUAGCCGGCCUGAGAGGGUGACCGGUCACAUUGGGACUGAGAUACGGCCCAGACUCCUACGGGAGGCAGCAGUGGGGAAUAUUGCACAAUGGGCGCAAGCCUGAUGCAGCGACGCCGCGUGAGGGAUGGAGGCCUUCGGGUUGUGAACCUCUUUCGCCCGUGGUCAAGCCGCGACGUGGGUCGUGGUGAGGGUAGUGGGUAAAGAAGCGCCGGCUAACUACGUG
rnacentral:rRNA from 1 species